AAUAGAUACCCAGGUAGUCCACGCCGUAAACGAUGAGUGCUAAGUGUUAGAGGGUUUCCGCCCUUUAGUGCUGCAGCUAACGCAUUAAGCACUCCGCCUGGGGAGUACGGCCGCAAGGCUGAAACUCAAAGGAAUUGACGGGGGCCCGCACAAGCGGUGGAGCAUGUGGUUUAAUUCGAAGCAACGCGAAGAACCUUACCAGGUCUUGACAUCCUCUGCCAACCCCAGAGAUAGGGCGUUCCCCUUCGGGGGACAGAGUGACAGGUGGUGCAUGGUUGUCGUCAGCUCGUGUCGUGAGAUGUUGGGUUAAGUCCCGCAACGAGCGCAACCCUUGAUCUUAGUUGCCAGCAUUCAGUUGGGCACUCUAAGGUGACUGCCGGUGACAAACCGGAGGAAGGUGGGGAUGACGUCAAAUCAUCAUGCCCCUUAUGACCUGGGCUACACACGUGCUACAAUGGAUGGUACAAAGAGCUGCGAACCCGCGAGGGUAAGCCAAUCUCAUAAAGCCAUUCUCAGUUCGGAUUGU
rnacentral:rRNA from 1 species